rnacentral:tmRNA from 1 species
GGGGGCGUACAUGGUUUCGACGGGGGUAAGUUGCCCCUGAGAAGCGAGUCGAGGGUCCUGGACCCGCGUUAAAAAACUAGGAAAAAUAUAAACGCAAACGAUAAUUUAGCGUUAGCUGCCUAAUUAGCGCAGCUCGUCCUACCCGGGAGGCCUACGGCUUGGGAUUAGGGCGUCAUUUAGUAGGGAACCGAGCUCUACAAAGCUUUGAGUAGAGAACGGAAUUUAUGAAGCUACUGAAGUUUAAAGCCUGUUAGUGGGCGUUAAACCUAGGGAAUUUUAAAACACUAUCUGCACUCGGAGAUGCUCAGGAGUUACUACUUUCGGACAGCGGUUCGACACCGCUCGCCUCCACCA